UACGGGGGGGGCAAGCGUUGUUCGGAAUUACUGGGCGUAAAGGGCUCGUAGGUGGCCAACUAAGUCAGACGUGAAAUCCCUCGGCUUAACCGGGGAACUGCGUCUGAUACUGGAUGGCUUGAGUUCGGGAGAGGGAUGCGGAAUUCCAGGUGUAGCGGUGAAAUGCGUAGAUAUCUGGAGGAACACCGGGUGGCGAAGGCGGCCCCCUGGUUGGAUACUGACGCUGAGACGCGAAAGCGUGGGGAGCAAACAGG
rnacentral:rRNA from 1 species